rnacentral:rRNA from 1 species
UACGGGGGGGGCAAGCGUUGUUCGGAAUUACUGGGCGUAAAGGGCUCGUAGGUGGCCAACUAAGUCAGACGUGAAAUCCCUCGGCUUAACCGGGGAACUGCGUCUGAUACUGGAUGGCUUGAGUUUGGGAGAGGGACGCGGAAUUCCAGGUGUAGCGGUGAAAUGCGUAGAUAUCUGGAGGAACAUCAGUGGCGAAGGCGGCUUCCUGGAUCAAGACUGACACUGAGGCUCGAAAGCGUGGGGAGCAAACAGG